rnacentral:rRNA from 1 species
GCGUGAGUGAAGAAGGCCUUAGGGUUGUAAAACUCUUUCACCCGUGAAGAUGAUGACGGUAGCGGGAGAAGAAGCUCCGGCUAACUCCGUGCCAGCAGCCGCGGUAAUACGGAGGGGGCUAGCGUUGCUCGGAAUUACUGGGCGUAAAGCGCACGUAGGCGGCUAGCCAAGUUGGGCGUGAAAGGCCUGGGCUCAACCCGGGAACUGCGCUUGAGACUGGCUGGCUAGAGUCCGGGAGAGGGUAGCGGAAUUCCCAGUGUAGAGGUGAAAUUCGU